rnacentral:rRNA from 1 species
GAUCCUGGCUCAGGAUGAACGCUAGCUACAGGCUUAACACAUGCAAGUCGAGGGGCAGCACGAUUGAAGCUUGCUUCAAUCGAUGGCGACCGGCGCACGGGUGAGUAACACGUAUCCAACCUGCCGAUAACUCGGGGAUAGCCUUUCGAAAGAAAGAUUAAUACCCGAUAGCAUAGUAUUUCCGCAUGGUUUCACUAUUAAAGAAUUUCGGUUAUCGAUGGGGAUGCGUUCCAUUAGAUAG